rnacentral:lncRNA from 1 species
UUGGAUAAAUUAAUUCUUGAACUUGUUUUAUUGAAUUCUUAUAUCAUUGUCAUCAUCCUCAUGUUUAUAUUUUGUUGAAAGUCAUCUGUGGCCUGUAGUGCAUAGAUGGACUUGGUAUGAUUAUGACCAGGAAUUAUUCGAUAUAAUCAUGACCGUAAUGUUAUAAAUAAUGUGGUAAAAGUUCUCAUUGGCUCAUAGUGCAUUGAUGGACAGUUGUUGGCAUGAUCAUGACCAUUGAUGAAUACACGAAUAUCCUUGGCCCGUAGUGCAUGGAGAAUUUGUGGUCGUGAUACUAAUGAAUAUCCUUAGCUGUAGUGCAAGUGUGACAACUCGAAAAUUUGGAAUAUUUUUAAAAUUUUUACUAAUUGAUAUAUGGUUCAAAAUUAGAACCUAGACAGAAAAUAAGUGUAUGCGUUUGAUAUUUUUGAGAAGGAAUUUUGAGGAUUUCAAAAUUCUGUGAAGGAGUUAGGUGAAUUAUUCAUGAUUAAGUGUAUAUGUAAAUAUGUUCUGUGUAUAUGGUAUUAUAUGUGUACAGUAUGUGGUUAAGGGUCAAGGGUUGACCAGACAAUGACAAACUUAAAUAUUAUACUAAGAACGUAAACGUUCAGUUAGAAAAUUCUUAUAAUUUAUAUGAAACCUUAAUUUGGGAACUCUAAUGCUAAGUAUAAAACCCUAAGGAUAAAAAGUUAUGUGAGUAAUGAGUAUGAAUAUUAUGUGAUGAUUUGUACUUGUUUAUUAUACAAACAAAUAAAAGAAACUAGAGUGAUCCUAAUUAUAUAUUAGGAAUGAAAAAUAUUUUUAACUUAGGGGUUAUGGGAUGAGAGAAUUAUGGUAUGUAGAAUAUAUACUAAUUCUAAGAGAUUUAUUUUAUACUUCUCAACUAAUUAAUUUCAUAACCUAAUUAUAGCAAGUCUAAUUGGGUUAAUAAUUUAAAUGUGCAUGAGUAAGGAUUUAUGUUUUAAUUGUGGAAUUGAAAACUCUAAUUAAAUAAUUAGGGAAUGGUAAUGUUAGAAGUGUUGGAAGAUGUUAUGUGUUUGGCCCAAAGAAACUAAAGUUAGUAGCCCAAAAGAAUUAAUUGAGUGGCCCAACUUUUAGCCCAUUUGAGAGGAGAUAUUAUGGACAUUUAAUAUGCUAAAUAAGAAUUAAAAAGGAAAUCAAUUUUUAAGGAUAAUAAGGCCACAUGGCCAACCAAGAUAAGGAGAGGAAGGGGGGAAGAAUGUAAUGAUUAUUUCACUUUAGUUGGUGAACAAACCUCCUAUGUGUCAUUGCCCCAUUUAGCCAACACUUUGUCAAUGCUUCCAAGUAAAGCUUUAGUGGUUGAGUGGGAGAGAGAAGAACUAGAGAUGUUGGUAGAUGAAUGAUAGAUAUACCAAAUAUAUCUAUACAUACUUUUCCAACAAAAUAAGAAAAAGUUUAAGUCUUAUCUUUUUCUUUUCAUCUUAUUAUCUAACAUAAACUAAGAAAGAAAGAGAGACUAAAGGGAGAGAGAGAUAGCUAUCAUACGGUAGCUCCAAGAGGAGAAGGAGAAGAGAAGAUUUUGAUCUUCAUACACCCAAGAUCCAUCUCAUAUUUUUGAAGGAGAAAGAAAUUCAAGCAAAGGUAUAAACCCCUUUUGUUUAUGUAAUUUUUGAUUAUUGUAAAUCAAACCUUGAAUCUAUGUUUCUAAACUCAAAAACUAUGGGUAUCCAUGUUGAGGAGUGUUGUAUGUUUAGAUCUACCCAUAUUGGGUGUUGAUUUGGUUGGAAUCAAAAGGAAUAGAAAAAUAGAAUUUUCCGGAAAGCUUAACCUUGAAAGUGUGAUCUAGCUUUUGAUUUUUGAAAUCUAUGAUGGAUAUUUGUGAUUUAUUUUCUUGGGAUGCUAGAUCUAUGUAUUAAGGAUAAAACCCCUUUGGAAUCACUCAAUUAGGUUGAAAAAUGAGCUCAUUCCGACUUAAAAUGACUAAGUUAUGACCAUUUCAAUAUUUAGGUUUUUCGGACGAAAAUCGCUAUAACCGGAGUUCUAUAACUCCGAUUGCCACAGAAUUUAAACUGGAGCAUCAUGUUAACACAUAUAAGAUUGUGUCAAGAGAUGGGAAAUUCUGGAGUUAAGCAUGAGGUAGCUAAUUUCUUAAGGAAUUUACUAAAACCAAUUUUUGAAAAAUACCAAAGGAAGUUGGAAAAUUUUGGGAAAAUACUUUUUGUGUAUGAAAUAUAUGUAUAUGUGUUUGGGCAAAGGAUGGAAAAAUAAUAAGUUGAUUUGGUAUUUUUGUGAAAAGGAUAUGGAAUCCAGCUUGCUGGAUUGAACAAUCUGAUGAAUCCAGUUUGAUGAAUUAUUUCGACUGUUAAUAAAUUAUCUUAGAUAAUGGUUAAGCAUUUAAACAGAGUUUAAUUGAACUUAAACUCGUGAAUUCUCCGACUAGACCGUCGUGGCAUUAGAAUUUGUGUCGGUUUCAAGUCAAACUAAAAUAGUUUGACCUUAUACUAAGUUUUAUGUGUG